rnacentral:rRNA from 1 species
AGCGUAGGCGGGGAGACAAGUUGAAUGUUUAAACUAUCGGCUUAACUGAUAGUCGCGUUCAAAACUAUCACUCUUGAGUGCAGUAGAGGUAGGCGGAAUUCCUAGUGUAGCGGUGAAAUGCGUAGAUAUUAGGAGGAACACCAGUGGCGAAGGCGGCCUACUGGGCUGUAACUGACGCUGAGGCUCGAAAGCGUGGGUAGCAAACA